CCCUAUUAUUUUAGAAUGUUAAUUUUUGUGCCUGAGUAGUAUUAGUUAUGUUCUUGAAACUUAAAGAAUUUGGCGGUAUCUCAUUCCGUCCAGAGGAAUCUGUCCCGUUAUCGAUAGUCCGCGUUGGACCUUACUUAUUUGAUUUUGGUUUGUAUACCGCCGUUUAUUGAUUAUCUUUUUAGGGUUAUAUUAAUUUUCUGGUUUCUUUAAUAUGAUAAAUUUCAGGUCAAGGUGCAGCUUGUUUUUAAGUGGAAUGAUGGAUUACAUUGUUAUUUGUUUAUGGAUUGUUUGUUUUAAUAUGGGCAUGAAAUUGGAUUUGGUUGUAAUGAUUUGUAGAUUGUUAUUAUGAUAAUUGGUUCUGAGAUAUGCACACAUCGCCCGUCGCUCUCGUUUAGUUUAU
rnacentral:rRNA from 1 species